rnacentral:rRNA from 1 species
AUUGAACGCUGGCGGCAGGCUUAACACAUGCAAGUCGAGCGGAGAUGAGGUGCUUGCACCUUAUCUUAGCGGCGGACGGGUGAGUAAUGCUUAGGAAUCUGCCUAUUAGUGGGGGACAACAUUCCGAAAGGGAUGCUAAUACCGCAUACGUCCUACGGGAGAAAGCAGGGGAUCUUCGGACCUUGCGCUAAUAGAUGAGCCUAAGUCGGAUUAGCUAGUUGGUGGGGUAAAGGCCUACCAAGGCGACGAUCUGUAGCGGGUCUGAGAGGAUGAUCCGCCACACUGGGACUGAGACACGGCCCAGACUCCUACGGGAGGCAGCAGUGGGGAACAUUGGACAAUGGGGGGAACCCUGAUCCAGCCAUGCCGCGUGUGUGAAGAAGGCCUUAUGGUUGUAAAGCACUUUAAGCGAGGAGGAGGCUACUGAGACUAAUACUCUUGGAUAGUGGACGUUACUCGCAGAAUAAGCACCGGCUAACUCUGUGCCAGCCGCCGCGGUAA